AUUGAACGCUGGCGGCAUGCUUUACACAUGCAAGUCGAACGGUAACAGGGAGCUUGCUCCGCUGACGAGUGGCGAACGGGUGAGUAAUGCGUCGGAACGUGCCGAGUAGUGGGGGAUAACGCAUCGAAAGGUGUGCUAAUACCGCAUACGUACUGAGGUAGAAAGUGGGGGACCUUCGGGCCUCACGCUAUUCGAGCGGCCGACGUCUGAUUAGCUAGUUGGUGAGGUAAAGGCUCACCAAGGCGACGAGCAGUAGCGGGUCUGAGAGGAGGGUCCGCCACCACGGGACUGGGACACGGCCCAGACGCCUACGGGAGGAAGCAGUGGGGAAUUUUGGACAAUGGGCGCAAGCCUGAUCCAGCCAGGCCGCGUGUCUGAAGAAGGCCUUCGGGUUGUAAAGGACUUUUGUCCGGGAGCAAAUGCCUGGUGUUAAUAGCAUCGGGAGCUGAGAGUACCGGAAGAAUAAGCACCGGCUAACUACGUGCCAGCAGCCGCCGUAAAAC
rnacentral:rRNA from 1 species